GCAGGACCAGGAUAACAGAGCUGGGAGCUGGGGGCAAAGGAGGAUGGACAGCAGGACAAACAGAGCAUCUUCACAUUUGAGGAGUCUGGAAACCACUUUGAUCGUUCAGACAAAUUCUGGCAGUUGAACCCGACUACACUUGGGAUUAGAAACUGAAGAGGAGCUGCUAAAAUCACAGUUCCUGCCUGGAAAUUAAAAACUGAGAGAAGAAAGACACUUCCCUUAAAUAUUCCCCAACCAAACCUUCAAUUAAAAAAAGAAAAAUAAAGCAGAAACAUUGAAAACCUUCCCACCAGGUCUGAGCCUCAGCAUGGGAGACAAAACAUCCCCACUCCCUUCUCUCAAAACCAGCAGCUCCAUUUCCCAUCUUUCUUCCCAGGUGAAGCACACGUGGAUAUCAGAGCCCCACAAGGUGAUGUCCUUCAGCAUAAUUGUCCAGGAAAAUUAUUAUUCUGAGGAAGUUUAUGAAAUUAUUAUUGUGUCCAACUUUGCAGUUCAGCUUAGAGAUCAGUCUGGGUGAACUAAUUCCAUCUCCCUAAUGAUUAAAUGCUUCAUAUUAAUAUAACCCUGAGCAGGCAAGUUCAAGCAGCCUGCCUUGCUUUCAUUCCCUGGGAUAAUUAGAUCUUGAGA